AUCCUGGCUCAGAAUCAACGCUGGCGGCGUCCUCAGACAUGCAAGUCGAACGAGAAAGUCCCCUUCGGGGGAUAAGUAAAGUGGCGCACGGGUGAGUAACACGUAGGUAAUCUACCUUCGGGUGGGGAAUAACCCAGGGAAACUUGGGCUUAACACCGCAUAAUGCAGCGGCACCACAUGGUGACAGUUGUUAAAGCGGGGGAUUUUAGGACCUCGCGCCUUGAANAGGAGCCUGCGGCGGAUUAGCUAGUUGGUAAGGUAACGGCUUACCAGGGCGACGAUCCGUAGCCGGCCUGAGAGGGCGGUCGGCCACACUGACACUGACAUACGGGUCAGACUCCUACGGGAGNCAGCAGUCGG
rnacentral:rRNA from 1 species